GGGUCAUAGCUCAGUGAUAAGAGCAUUUGUUCUAUAUGCAAAAGGUUCCAGGUUCAAUCCUCAGCAUACCCA